rnacentral:rRNA from 1 species
CUUCCUACGGGAGGCAGCAGGGGGGGAUAUUGCACAAUGGGGGGAACCCUGAUGCAGCGACGCCGCGUGGGUGAAGGAGCGUUUCGGCGCGUAAAGCCCUAUCGGCAGGGAAGAAGAUGACGGUACCUGGCCAAGAAGCCCCGGCUAACUACGUGCCAGCAGCCGCGGUAAUACGUAGGGGGCAAGCGUUAUCCGGAUUUACUGGGUGUAAAGGGAGCGUAGACGGCAGUGCAAGUCUGAAGUGAAAGGCAAGGGCUCAACCCUUGGACUGCUUUGGAAACUGUGCUGCUGGAGUGUCGGAGAGG